AAGAAUGUAUUUUCUGGGACAAUUUCUAUAGUUCGUUACUAGUGGAAUUUCUCUAAACAUGCAGAGCAUGGAAACCGCAAGCAGGAGGCGCAGCGCCCUCUCCUGAGCGUGAAGCUGGCUUUGGCGUUGCUGCGCCGCCACUGCCGUUUACCAAUGAGGAUCUUCUCUUCCCUGGGGAGAGUAAGAGAGACAGGAUGCAGUCUGAGUGGU
rnacentral:snoRNA from 1 species